ACUCCUACGGGAGGCAGCAGUGGGGAAUAUUGCACAAUGGGCGCAAGCCUGAUGCAGCCAUGCCGCGUGUAUGAAGAAGGCCUUCGGGUUGUAAAGUACUUUCAGCAGUGAGGAAGGUGGAUAUGUUAAUAGCAUAUUCAUUUGACGUUAGCUGCAGAAGAAGCACCGGCUAACUCCGUGCCAGCAGCCGCGGUAAUACGGAGGGUGCGAGCGUUAAUCGGAAUUACUGGGCGUAAAGCGCAUGCAGGUGGUUUGUUAAGUCAGAUGUGAAAGCCCGGGGCUCAACCUCGGAAUUGCAUUUGAAACUGGCAAACUAGAGUACUGUAGAGGGGGGUAGAAUUUCAGGUGUAGCGGUGAAAUGCGUAGAGAUCUGAAGGAAUACCGGUGGCGAAGGCGGCCCCCUGGACAGAUACUGACACUCAGAUGCGAAAGCGUGGGGAGCAAACAGGAUUAAGAUACCCUGGUAGGCUCU
rnacentral:rRNA from 1 species